AUACCAUGAUGAGGGCACUGCCUAAGUAACUCUUUAAAUCUUUCCCAAGCUUCGAAAAGUGACUCUUCAUCUCCUUGCCUAAAUGAGGUAAUUUCAUUUCCCAUCUU